GUUAUAACGAUGAAAAGAAGAGUAGCCAUUAAGAUGACUUUCAGAGAGCUAGCGGUAGGUGGAAGCUAGUAGAAUCUAAUGCGUGAAGAACCUCUUGGAGUUGCUAAUCGAAAAUGCUACGGGCAAUGAGUAGGCUUAGCCGGGUAAAGACCGAUAUAUCUUUUUGAGGUGAAUUACCUUUUGGUAAUUAACUAGGGUGGUAACGCGGAGUACAAGCUUCGUCCCUUUG
rnacentral:ncRNA from 1 species